rnacentral:misc_RNA from 1 species
AAAGAGACGUUGCCCUUCGGGGUAUACCUCCCACCCUUUGUUUAUUAUACCUUUGUUGCUUUGGCGGGCCCGGUCCUCGGACCACCGGCUUCUGCUGUGUCAGUGCCCGCCAGAGGACCUAAAACUCUGUUUGUUAAUAUUGUCUGAGUACUAUAUAAUAGUUA